AUGUGGUUCGACCCAAUGAUGCAUCCUUGCAGGGGAUUACGAAAUUCCACGGCCAGCCCUCUGAGGACACCAUCGUAUUCUAGCCUCCUUUGUCAAACCUACUGGAAAUUUUUUAGAGUGCCAGAGUUGGCAAGGUUCCUUCAUCUGUGCCUCCUUGAGUCUCUGGGCAGAAGGAUGCUGGGUGGGUCGGCCAGGCCCAGAGGUGUCGUUCUUUUUCUACUUAACUCCUAUGUGCCCUUGCCCUGCUCUACUACCCACCCCACCACCACCACCUUCCCUGUGUUUUAUCUUUCUUUCCCUCUUGCUCUCAUUACAAAAAAUCAGAGAAUUAACAUUCCUUGGCUGGUGAGUGGGAUGCAACAACCAGCCUCAGGACACUGGUCACCUCUUCCCAUUUUCCUAGAAGCCACUGCUAGGAAGCAGCCACCCAAGGAGACUGUCAGAGCUCCAGAGAUAUUGUCAGGUUGACAGUCUAUGCCACACUGAAGCUGAAGAACUGACAUGAGCAAGGAAAAAAAAAAGUGCCACAUCUGUCUUCUAUGCCCAUUGGCUCAGACAUAGCAUUUAGUAAGUGAAAUACACACUGGUAACCCAUAGAGGCUUCUAAGGCCAUGACCAAAUAGCAUUGAAGAGAGCCACGUUUCCAUACUGGCUUGGAAUGUGAAACAGAUUCCACCGUUCUACAUCUGCUUUGCCUAGACUGUAUAGACACGACCUGUGUUUCACCUCAGUACCUCUCCCUUCCUAGGACAGAGUCCUUAGACACUAAAUGCUUCUCUCUGUCUUUUCGCCUAAGGGAAUGGGGGUUAGUAUUGCAUUGCACCCUCUGACAAACAUUUUUAGGGAGUGCUGCCGGACAGCUUGCAAACUCCCAACAACUCAGCAGAGUCCUGUUUGCCAGCUCCGUUGCUGGUGUAGACUAGUCAGCAGUGCGGCAGCCCAUUUCAUCUGGCAGACUGAAGUUGAACAGGCACAGCUGUGGCAUCACGGUCAUUACCGAGAUACAAAUGUCAAGUUUGCCCUUAUACAUAGGCAUGGUAUUUGUAAGAGCCAGGAGCAGUGAUUCGGAACAUUAGAGCCAUGGAGGAAGUGGAGGCCUGGGCUCCCUCCUUGUCCUGGCAGUGUGGAAGAGAAGCAGCUCUGAGGCAGCCUUGUCUAUCCUUGAAAUUCUUGGCCUGUCCUCUGGCUCAGGGCCUUUCCCUGCUCCAAAGAUAAGAAGGGUCCCCCAUUGCAAACUUGAAAUUACUUACCUGAAGUUGAUACAUCAAGUUCUAGCCGUGCUCAGCCACACCUGUCUUUGCAUUCAUUUUCACCAUUAGCCUGGCCAGCUGCAAGGCUAUCUGUGGUCCUCAGAGCCUGUGGAACCUGCCCACGAUGGGAGGCGUUAGCUGCUGACGCACCACUUACCCAGAGUUACAGGAGGUCUACUUCUGGGGUGGGGUUUGGUACAAUUUCUGAUUAUGGGCACUUCCCACCCCAAAUGAUGAGAAGUUACAGUUAACUAUGAUUUACUCAGCUAUAAGUCAACUCCAGAGGUUUAGUGUUCUUAAUAUGGGAAAGAGGAGAAAUCUCAGGUCCAAUCAGGGUUCUGCCUAUCAGCUUUUCACUGAAACUUCAACUAUAGUUUUGUGGGGGUUUUUUUUUCAUCUUUAUAGGUAUAUUUGCCCCUCAUCUACUUCCUGUCCCCUUUCUUCUCUUCUCUUUUGGUCACCUUUCCAGCUUUAUUUUCUUCAUUAGUUUAAAUGUACCUCAUCACACCUGUUAAAACAGAUUAUGUCCACUUUUCCUUACUGACCUUACUCUAAGAGCUACAGCAGAGGGAGGUACAGUGGAAAGACAUGUAGUGUUUGCCUUACUUGGAGCCUGAAGAGCUUAGAAACUCAUGCUGUGAAUCCCAAAACUCAGUGCUCCUUUAAGAGCUGUGAAAAUCAUGACAUUUUGUCACAGUUUUGCCUGAAAGGGUCUUUUGCCUGGGUGCCAGAGCCAAACUGAGGUGAAUUCCAGAUCCUAACAUCUGGGUGCGAUCCCUCCCCCCAGGGCUCACUCCCUGUCUACUAGACCAAGAGCAGCAUGAAGUGUGCAGGACAGGGGAGGCAGCGAGCGCCAAGGCUCUGGUGCAGCCCAAGGGAAAGCAUAGCCAGCACUUGGUCCCCAGGCUGGGAUUCCAUCUCCUAACACCACGUACAUUAAGAUCCGCGAAAGACCAACUUUUAGUCAGUGAUGCUUUUUCUCCCAUUACCUGAGGGAGAAGUAUGCAGUUGGUGCUUUCUUUUAAUUCCCUGUUUUGUUUUUGUUUUGUUACUGGAAGCUUUUCCCCAGGUAUCAUGGAAAGGACCUCUUAAAUACCACAUUUGGUGUGGGCGGCUGUAUCCAAAGUCUAAAUAAUUGGCCAGAGGUAUGGAGUAGCCUUUCCUGGAUUGAUGCAAAGGAAGGGCUCCUUAUCACAACUGCACUUCUUGAUAUUAAAAACUGGCUGCGGAGGAAGACUUAAUUUUACAAAAAUCAAAGUUUGAGAUCAUCUAACCACAAAUUGAGCAGCUAACGCUAAUUUGAUUAUAAAGUAAGGGUCCCCAUAUAGCCCGCCAUCUAGCACAGCAUAUUCUCAGAUUUGACGCUUAUUCAUUGUGUGUCUUCACAAGCCCCUCCUUGGUGCUGAGUUGGAUUUGAAUUCUUGGCAAGAGUCCUCAGCAUCUCCUUGGGCUGGUCUGGGCCAGUAAAUAGCUGCCUGAAGUGUUUAUAUAUUAUCAUGGUCAAUAGUUCAGUGAAAUUUGUACAUUUUUGGUAACAUUGGUAUACAUGAUGCCCCUGCAGUUCCUUUUCUGUUUGGUAGUUUGUGACUCUAAAUUCCCACUGUUAUGUGUGUUAAUUUAUGAAAAUAAAUUUUUUUGGAAAAUCUUUCAAAUAACUCUUAAGGCUGUUAUUCUAUUCUCUUUUUUUUAUGAUUUUAUUAUUAAGUAAGCUCUACACCCAACAUGGGGCUCAACCUUAGAAACCCCAAUAUCAAGAAUAGCACUUUUUCCAACUGAGCCAGUCAGGUGCCACUGUUAUUUUAUUCUUACGACUUGGUAAAAUUUUAAAAUUUUACCUAUAAUAUUAUGAGGUUUCACCACUUUCUGAGGACUGUCCUGUGCUCAGAACAAGUAUUGGCCUCCACCUUUGGGUGACCUGAGCCUGCAAUGAAUCUUUUAAAAUUUACUCAGUGGCAGCAAAUCAUCCCUUUGAGGGAAUUUGGUAUUUGGAAACACCCAAUACUCAUUCAGAUCUGAGUCAUACCCACUUAGGUGGGGUAGGGUUGCAGAGCAAGUAUCUUAGGUGUGAUUUUUAAAUAGUGCAGCUUACUUUCUCAUUUGGUGAGGGGUGGGGAGCAGUUAUAAAUUCAAGUCAUAAGAUGUUUCAAAUAUUAACCUAUUUGGAAUAAGAGCUUCACUUGCUAAUGAGACUACUAGGGAGAGUGUAAAUGCAGUGGAGUACAUGCAUUUGCUGUAAAAAAAAAAAGUCUUGCCUUUUAUCAGAUAUCCUCCUGGCUGUAAAUGAAGUUAGGCCAUGAGUCUUCUAUUCUCAGUCCUCUAGUGAGAUGGUGGCAACUAGUGAGAGAAUGACUGAAAACAUGGCUCUCAAACACUGACAUGUUCCAGGAAGAAUCCUAAUUUCUGAGGAUGUUUUUCAGUGUCCAGUGUCCCUGCAUGGCUUUUUCCAAUUCUUGGGCUUCUACAACACAGAAUUCCAUCCAUGUAGUCUUAAUAUUUGGGGAGCAUUCUGCCUCACAGGAAUGUUUCUGCUUGUUAGGUUUCACAGUUAAUUGAGAAGCGCACUCCUACACAUUUUCUUUGUUUAGAAGGGAGAGGCUAAUCAUCUAUUAUGUGUUAUUUCUUUAGCAUCUCUCAUUACAGAAUCUCAGUGUUGGUAAGGCUUCCUGAGAAUUAGAGGACUGAUCCAAGCUGAUUUAAGAAUCCUCUGUUGGGGUGCCUGGGUGACUCAGUCGGUUAAGGCUCCGACUUCAGCUCAGGUCAGAACUCACGUUCGUGGAGUUUGAGCCCCCCGUUGGGCUCUGUGCUGACAGCUAGCUCAGAGCCUGGAGCCUGCUUCGGGUUCUGUGUCUCCUUCUCUAUCUGCCCCUCCCCCUCUCAUGCUCUGUCUCUCUCUGUAUCAAAAAUAAAUAAAAACAUUUAAAAAAAAAAAAGAAUCCUCUGUUGGGGGGCACCUGGGUGGCUCAGUCUGUUAAGUGUCCAACUCUGGCUUAGGCCGUGGUCUCACAGUUUGCAGGUUUGAGCCCCGGGUCAGGCUCUAUGCUGACAUCUCAGAACCUGGAGCCUGCUUGCAUUUUUCUCUCUCUCUCUCUCAAAAAUAAACAUUAAAAAAAUUUUUUUAAAGAAGUCUCUAUUGUACCUUGCCCUCUUGCAGUGAUGGAGACCUGAUCUUUACAUUUCCUUCUGGGAGGACUUUGCUUGAAAAGUGUUCUAGAAAAUUCCUAAUUCAUAAACAACUUCCAAGGUCAUAGAUGAGUCAUAACAUCUUAAACUUCCAGUGUCUUCUCCCUUCUCACUGUCAGCUGAUAGCUUUGUGUUUGCAUUUCACUGAGAAGCAAUUUGAAUGAAAUUUACAUACUGACCUUUUGCAGUUCCUUGAACAGACCAAGCAUGCUCCCCGGUUGAUUUGCUGUCUCCAGUGCUCUUCUCCCACAUUUGUACAUGUUCCCUCAGGCAUUUUAUUUAGAUUUUUGCCUUCCCAGAUCAUCCUAAAAGUGUAUCCCCUCCCAUUCUACAUCGCCCUUAUGAUACUUUUAUAUUUUACAGUACUUACUACCGUCUUCACAAGUUCCUCGAGGUCAGGGACUUUUGUUUUAUUUACUCUGGGAUCUUGCUCUCAAGCACCUAAACCACUGCCUCACAUAUAUGGUAGGAGCUGAGGAAACACUCACGGGCAAACGAAUGGCUGCUUUUAUUCACAGAACUUGUUGCCGCACAGACCUGGUGCAGUCCUCUCCAUCCCCCUUAGUCUGAAUAUCUGAAGACCCUGCAAUUCUCCCUUCAAGUUACUCUUCAAGGGACCUGGUUGGUAACUGCCCAAACACACAAGGUAAAACUGGUCAACUCUUCCAAUGCCAGGCUCUGCUCAGCUCCAGCUGCAGCCACACCACACAGCUAGC
rnacentral:lncRNA from 1 species